CCACCCAUAGCUCAGCUGGUAAAGCCUGGGACCCUUGAUUUCAGGAUCGUGGGUUUGAGCCCCACUCUGGGCGGC